GAACACAUGGCUUAGUGGUCAUAGGCAUAAUGGCAAUUAACCCAAAGGUCGCUGGUUCAAACCCUGCUGUGGUCA
rnacentral:tRNA from 1 species